GGUUAAGCGACUAAGCGUACACGGUGGAUGCCCUGGCAGUCAGAGGCGAUGAAGGGCGUGCUAAUCUGCGAUAAGCGCCGGUAAGGUGAUAUGAACCGUUAUAACCGGCGAUACCCGAAUGGGGAAACCCAGUGUGACUCGUCACACUAUCAUUAACUGAAUCCAUAGGUUAAUGAGGCGAACCGGGGGAACUGAAACAUCUAAGUACCCCGAGGAAAAGAAAUCAACCGAGAUUCCCCCAGUAGCGGCGAGCGAACGGGGAGGAGCCCAGAGCCUGAAUCAGCAUGUGUGUUAGUGGAAGCGUCUGGAAAGGCGCGCGAUACAGGGUGACAGCCCCGUACACAAAAGCGCAUGUGCUGUGAGCUCGAUGAGUAGGGCGGGACACGUGGUAUCCUGUCUGAAUAUGGGGGGACCAUCCUCCAAGGCUAAAUACUCCUGACUGACCGAUAGUGAACCAGUACCGUGAGGGAAAGGCGAAAAGAACCCCGGCGAGGGGAGUGAAAAAGAACCUGAAACCGUGUACGUACAAGCAGUGGGAGCACCCUUUGGGGUGUGACUGCGUACCUUUUGUAUAAUGGGUCAGCGACUUAUAUUCUGUAGCAAGGUUAACCGAAUAGGGGAGCCGGAGGGAAACCGAGUCUUAAU
rnacentral:rRNA from 1 species